AGAGUUUGAUCAUGGCUCAGAGUGAACGCUGGCGGCGUGCCUAAUACAUGCAAGUCGAACGGAAUUUAAAAGAGCUUGCUCUUUUAAAUUUAGUGGCGCACGGGUGAGUAAUAUAUAGCUAAUCUGCCCCUUGCUGGAGGACAACAGUUAGAAAUGACUGCUAAUACUCCAUACUCCUUUUUACCAUAAGAUAAAUCGGGAAAGAAUUUCGGCAAGGGAUGAGACUAUAUCGUAUCAGCUAGUCGGUGGGGUAACGGCCUACCGAGGCUAUGACGCGUAACUGGUCUGAGAGGAUGAUCAGUCACAUUGGAACUGAGACACGGUCCAAACUCCUACGGGAGGCA
rnacentral:rRNA from 1 species